rnacentral:rRNA from 1 species
AUGAGGAGCCUGGGGCGGCCGGCGAAGUCCAGGUCGCGGGUCUUCAUGGCCUCCUCCGCCGCGGCCGCGGAGGAGGCCACGACGGUGGGCACGCGGCCGAGCCGCAGGUGCAUGACCGGGCCGUGGGACGCGGCCAGCGACCGGAGGCUCCGGUGCGGCAGGCUCCCGAGCAGGUGGAGGUGGCCGACGACCGGCAGGCCCCGCGGCGACGGGGGCGCAUUGCUGCCGCGCCUGGUGGAGACGAGGACGGUGAUCACCACGACAAGGAAGGCGAGGAGGGUGAUGAGCACGGGCGAGUUCCACGGCUCAACAACCAUUUCUGCAACCAUUCUAGCUAGCUUGUGUCGUGUACCCAAGCUUAACCGGUAG